rnacentral:rRNA from 1 species
UGCCAGCCGCCGCGGUAAUACGGAGGGUGCGAACGUUGUUCGGAAUCACUGGGCAUAAAGAGCACGUAGGCGGUCUAUUUGGUCGGAUGUGAAAGCCCCCGGCUCAACCGGGGAACUGCAUUCGAUACCGAUAGACUCGAGGAUGGUUGGGGUGAGUGGAACUCCUGGUGGAGCGGUGAAAUGCGUAGAUAUCAGGAGGAACACCGGUGGCGAAAGCGGCUCACUGGACCAUUUCUGACGCUGAGGUGCGAAAGCUAGGGUAGCGAACGGGAUUAGAUA